GAAACCCUUGGCAGCCAAAGUGGAGCACAUGAACUUAACCACCCAGCUACGGGGGCAGCACCAAAGGAUACAUUCCACAGAGGUACACAGAACUAUGAUGUGUGGCUUUUGCGUCUUGCCACUCCCUUCCAGAGGGCCUUUCCAUCUUCCAAGUCUGCUCUAAGUGUCCCAGGGCCUCAUGCAGCCACUGGGAAUGCCCAGGGACCAAACUCAGCCUCCAACUUCUGGGAUCCUCAUCUCCCUUCAAACAUAAAAGAAGUUGCCUGCACGUUUGGGAUCUGGUAACAGGACCACAAGAAAACUCUUGCAGCAAACUGAAGGUUUCUAUUUCAGAUCCUUCCACCACCUUCACCACCAUCAUUUCCAUAAUCCACCACCACCAUCACCACUAUCAUCACUACUACCUUCAUCACCACCUCUCAAUACCUCCAUCAUCACCACCCACCAUCAUCACCUCCACCACCAUGAGCACCACAUCUACCAUCAAAAAAGAGUUUAUUUCCCAGCUCUUUGACUCUUGACGCUGGGUUGGCCAUGUGACUUCUCUGGCUAAUAGGAUAUUAACAAAUGUGAUGCAAGCAGUGGCUUGAAAAAAGCAUGCACUUUGGAGUUUGCCCUCUCUUGUUGAUCUGGGAACCCUGCCACUACCACCACGUGAUCUAAUCUGGGCUGGCCUGCUGGAGGAUAACCGAUCAUGUGGAGCAGAGAUGAGCUAGUCCAGCUCCAGCCCUACGAGACUAAUCAGCCCGCCAAUCAGCAGAUACAUGAGAGACCAUUCUGGACCAUCCAGACCCUGCUCAGCUGGCCGAGGCCUGAACACCCCCCAGGUUGAGAGACUAGAGAUUCAUGAUAAAUAAUAAAAUAUUUAUUGUUUGAAGCCACAAAAUGUUGUGGUGGUUUGUUAUAGAGCAAAAGCUGGCUGAUACAGGGACCGUAUCUCACUGAGUUUUAUUUUCCUCUUUUCUCUUUAUCCAUUCCAAAAAGUUUGGGUAAAACGUUUGGUUUAUUGGAGCCAGUUAUCAUAAACACACGAUCUUUCACUUUCUUCCAAUUCUAAAAGCUCUGAUUGUCUUAUAUUAGUAAGCUUCCUGUCUCAGUUAUGGUCUUUACAGAAGAAAGGGGCUGGGGCUAAAGGUAGUAGAAACGAG
rnacentral:lncRNA from 1 species